rnacentral:rRNA from 1 species
UACAGAGGUUGCAAGCGUUAAUCGGAAUUACUGGGCGUAAAGCGCGCGUAGGUGGCAAGUUAAGUCGGAUGUGAAAGCCCUGGGCUCAACCUAGGAAUUGCAUUCGAUACUGGCUAGCUCGAGUUUGGUAGAGGAGAGUGGAAUUCCCGGUGUAGCGGUGAAAUGCGUAGAUAUCGUAAGGAAGACCAGUGGCGAAGGCGGAUCUCUGGACAGUUAUUGACACUGGGGCACGAAGGCCAGGGGAGCAAACGGG